GUUUGGCUUAGGGCCCUGUUCUUGCCAUU
rnacentral:piRNA from 1 species